AAUGACAUGCCCUAAGCAUUCCAUGACAGCCACAUUAAGAGACCUCUAGCAUUUCAUUACAGACUCAGUGCAGCAAUACCAUUUCGGCAAUAGUUUAUAUUAGUGCUGUGUGACUUGCAGCCUCCUGCUGUAGCUAAACUGCAAAUACCAACAUCAACAGAUACUGAGAGUUGUAGUUCAGCAUCAGACUCUGCAGCUUUUAUAUGAAGGAAGGCUGAGCUUGGCCUAAAUGCUAUAAAUAAACUGGGUAGAGAGGUAAGGGAAAUGAGAUGGAAACUGACAGAGAGAUAGAUCGGCAGUCAGAGAGAAAGAAAUUGGAAGCAGCAUCAGUGAAACUUUCCAAUGAAUAACAUGCACCUUGGUUGUAGGGGGGAGGGAGCCGGGGAAGGGCAGAGGCAGCAGCAAUAAAUCCAGCAGGGUCAGUUUAGUAUCUCAGCGGCUCCUUUCACUCUAAAUUCAGGGCUCUGUUCCGCUCGCUCCAUUCUUUCUCUUUUCCCGGAGCAGUUAUGGCGUCAGAGUCUCAUCUCGGGAGACGGUAACAAAAGCCCCCACAGGGGCAGAAACUGAAGGCAUCACUGCGAAUUGCGGGACAUUCAAACAACAAUCCGGGACAGCGGGUUGUGCUGUACAAAGCGGGACAGUUGGGGGGUAUGGUCACUAGUAAAAGGCAAAAUGGUUUCCCACUCAGUGGGAUAAGAGAGCAGUCAGUACAGCAGCCUGUGGGCAUUACAUGUGCCCCUGACUAUUUACAGGACCUGGGAACAUUACCUUGUACCAAAAACACAGUAGCAGAGUGAAGGCACUAAAAGAGUAAACGAGCAGUUACCAGAAGUUGGCAAAGCCCCCCCCUCCCUGAGGCACCGCCCCACCCUCCCUGAGGCACCGCCCCCUUCUCACCAGGAAGUGCAGCAAGGAAAUCACCUGUGUCUCAUUCAGUCCGGAACCUGAAGCUCCCAAUGCAGAUAUGUUGCCCCCUCUGCCGCCUGCUUGCCCGUCGUGCCCAGGUACUGAGUGCCCACUCACACAUACAGCCCAGGUCCCCUCCCAGCUGGUUCGCUAUCUUUCCGACUCUCAGCCUCCCUUCUGCAUCCAACGCCUGGACCCCCUGGUGCUGACUGUGCGCAACCUGGACAAAACCAUCAACUUCUACACUAAGGUGCUGGGCAGGGAAGCCACAACCUUCAAGGUGCUGAUCCCAUUACUCAAACUUCCCAGUGUGAGAAGAGAGGGAGGCAGGAAGGCUCUGAGCUUUGGGAUGCAAAAGAUUAAUCUGCAUGAGGCUGGGAAAGAAUUUGAACCGAAAGCGGCUGUCCCCUCCCCGGGAUCAGCUGACCCGUGUCUCAUCACCGAGACGCCACUCAGCACUGUGGUGCAACACCUAAGGGCCUGCGGUGUGCCUGUAGAAGAAGGGCCGGUGAGUCGGCCAGGCGCUGUUGGAGAAAUCAUAUCGGUUUAUAUGCGGGACCCUGAGCAGAAUCUGAUAGAGUGACGGGAGAAUUUCUGAACUGCGAGGGAUCCGGGCUGUACCUGCUGCAGAGCUGCUGUGAGUUCUAACAGUGUCCGUGGCGCAGUAUAUAUAGGGCUCAUUAGUUCUCAUGUACUGAGUGUGAUGCUGCAGAUCAGUUUGUGGUGAAAACACAGAGACCUUCCUGUAUGUAAUUAUCAUUGGAAGGGCCCCUUCAUUUUGUGAUAGGCUAUUGGCUUUCACAGGUAACCAUAGCUGUGUGCCAAACGCAGAGGCAUCUUUUCCAGACAACUUUAUCCUCCAUCUCACUGCUUUGGAAGAUAUCCAGCCUG